rnacentral:lncRNA from 1 species
UCACUGCCAUCUCUUCUAUCCCAGAGUCUAACUGGAAACCAAAUCAAGACUGAAGUAAUUUGAUGCAGUAGUCGGCAAAAUGUCAAAUCCUAACCAUGCAUUUUGAUUCAAUACAAAAUGCUAAUGUCAAGCGAGGGAAAGGAGAGCAAAGACGUGAAUAGCAUCUACAAAAGACGAACUAAACUAUUAGUCGCCUUACUGAGACCAUAGUGUUAACUAGGGUUGUAAAUGAAUAACGCGUUUGAUUAACGGUUCACUUAUGUUCGUUUAUAACUUAAAUCGCAUAAUUAUCAAAACUUAUAACAUAAAAGAGAUCAAACCUUAACUAAAUCAAACAAACUAAUCGAAGGAACAAGCAAUUAAAACCGCCAUUGAAAUUAAUAAGAACUGCAAAUCAAUUACUGAAACUAAAGCACCAAAGAUAAAAAAAAUUAAAAAUAAAGAGAAAUCCAUAAUAAUUUUAUAUACUUACACGAAAUUGAAGACGAAGAUAAACAAGAAAUUAAAUAAUUUAUAUUAGAAUAAAAAGAAUUAAAAUUUGAAUAUAGAUUUAAAAAUUUAUUUUUCAAAAGGAAAUAAAAUGAAGAAAGGGAAGAGCGUACAGAUUUGCGGUGUAGAGAAUCAGCGAGGGCGAAAUCCCGAACAGCCACUCACCAGAUCCUCAUCAUCUUUCUUCUUUUGGUCCUCAGCCGUACAGAUCUUGGAAGAAUCCGAA